rnacentral:rRNA from 1 species
GGGCCCGCACAAGCGGUGGAGUAUGUGGUUUAAUUCGAUGCAACGCGAAGAACCUUACCAGGGUUUGACAUCCUGCGAAUUUCUGGGAAACCGGAAAGUGCCUUCGGGAGCGCAGUGACAGGUGGUGCAUGGCUGUCGUCAGCUCGUGUCGUGAGAUGUUGGGUUAAGUCCCGCAACGAGCGCAACCCACGUCUUUAGUUGCCAGCAUUUAGUUGGGCACUCUAGAGAGACCGCCGGUGAUAAACCGGAGGAAGGUGUGGAUGACGUCAAGUCAUCAUGCCCCUUACAUCCUGGGCUACACACGUACUACAAUGCUACGGACAAAGAGCAGCAAGUUCGCGAGGACAAGCAAAUCUCAUAAACCGUGGCUCAGUUCAGAUCGUAGGCUGCAACUCGCCUACGUGAAGGCGGAAUCGCUAGUAAUCGCGAAUC